GUGCUCACUUUGGCAGCACAUAUAAUAAUAUUAGAACAACACAGAGAAGACUAGCAUGGUUCCUGCACAAAGAUGACACAAAAAUUCAUGAAGCAUUCCAUAUUUUU